GUUGAUGGUUAGCCCAGCAUCACAUCCCAGCACCGUAAACAGUGCUAUAAAAUGCAGUCAGAUCAUAGCCAGAGGGCUGCAGGGUGCUGCGGGCACAAUGGAGAGUUCUUCCAGCCUCCAGAUUGAGACUCAGCAGGGGUGAGAGAUGAGCCCCCACCCACCAACGAGGAGCAUGUGUGAUGGAUGACCCGAACAGAAACUAAACACACCGUGGGGGCCUUGGAGACACACCAAGGCCACCAGAGCAGGGCAGGCUUUGUUUUUUUUGUUUUUUUGCCUCCGCUUUUCAAAGCACAGAAAAUGUGCGACUAUGACCAAAUGUUCAGGCAUGUUUCAAUUUGCACUCAGCUGCAUCACUCUUCAACAAGAAAUACGUGUCUCCAGCGCCGUACCAAAAGAAUGAGCGGGCCUGCCUAUCCUCCCACUGGAGUAUGGAUCUGGAGCGCAGGGAAAGUUUCCUCCUCUUGUUGCAAGUCUCCCUGGCUGGAACCUGGAGUGACUCAAGACAGAGCCCUCUAAUCCCUCUUCGUCAUCUUCCAGGUGGGAAUUCCUGGUUAGGUGCAGUUAGCCAGUUAGUUUAUUGAUCCACAGCACUUGGACGUGACAUGGGUCACCUGCACUUUCCUCUUCAUAUGCUUCAUCUCUCUUUUCCUCUGUCAGCAGGCACCACAGUGGACGGAUGAACCGACAGACUGCCCUCCCCAUCUCCUCCUCCUCCUACCUCGUGACUAAUCUGUAACCUCUGAGAUCAUCUACUGAAGGGAUGUCAUGGAAAAACCAGCAGCUCGCUAAUAAUCUGAGAAAUCUCUUGUCUGCCCAUCUGUCAAUCAUCCAGGCGUGUGGGGGGAGGGGCACACAUGCACAUCGCAGAGAUGGCGAGGGGGAAUCCUGGUGGUCAGCAGAAGACUAUUCCUGCAAGGGACCUCUUAGAUUACAGCACAAGACCCCCUCAAGUGACUGCUGACAUCCAAACAUCAGG